AUGCAGAGGGCCAGAGCUGGCCCAGAAGACGCCGGACCUGGGGGCGCAGAGCAGGCCAGGAGGAGGGGCCGCGAGCAGAGCAGGGGCAGUGCGUGGCAGAGGCCCUGCCAGGCUGGGGCAGCAGGCCAGGGGGCGCAGGAGGCAGGAGCCACCGACCCUGGCGGUCACGCGGCCUCCUCUCUCACAGCCUCCGUCACGGCCCCCACCGUCUACCCUCUGGGCUCCAGCUGCGCGGGCACGUCCGGCUCCACGGUGACCGUGGGCUGCCUGGUCUCCAACUACGUCCCGGAGCCCGUGACCGUGACCUGGAACUCGGGCGCCCUGUCCAGCGGCGUGCACACCUUCCCGUCCGUCCGGCACUCCUCGGGGCUCUACUCCCUCAGCAGCACUGUGACCGUGCCCACCGGCACCUCGGCCGACAAGACCUUCACCUGCAAUGUAGCCCACCCGGCCAGCAGCACCAAGGUGGACAAGCAAGUCGAGAUCAGCCCCGGAACCCCUGACUGCUCCAGAUGUCCCAAAUGCCCACCCCCUGAGCUCAUCAUAAAACCGUCCGUCUUCAUCUUCCCCCCGAAACCGAAGGACAUCCUCACAAGCUCCCGCACGCCCGAAGUCACCUGCCUGGUGGUGGACGUGAGCCAGGAGGAGCCCGAUGUUGAAUUCUCAUGGUACAUAGACGAGGUAGAGGUAAAAACGGCUAAGACGAAGCCAAGUGAGAAGCAGGUGAACAGCACCUUGCGAGUGCUCAGCACCCUGCCCAUCCAGCACAAUGAUUGGCUUCAGGGAAAGGAGUUCAAGUGCAAGGUCAACAACAAGGGACUCAAGGCCCCCAGCGAGAGGACCAUCUCCAAGGACAAAGGGCAGCCCCGGGAGCCGCAGGUGUACGUUCUGGUCCCACCGUGGGAAGAACAGGACAAGAGCACAGUCAGCGUAACCUGCAUGGUCACCGGCUUCUAUCCGAGCGACGUCAACGUGGAGUGGCAGAGUAACGGGCAGCCCGUGUCAGAGGACAAUUACGGCACGACCCCACCCCAGCUGGACGCCGACGGCUCCUUCUUCCUGUACAGCAGGCUCAGGGUGGACAAGAGCAGCUGGCAGCAGGGAGACACCUACAUUUGUGCAGUGAUGCACGAGGCUCUACCCAGUCACCCCAUGCAGAAGUCCAUCUCCAGAUCUCCGGAACUGCUCCUGUUGGAGGAGAGCUGUGCCGACGCCCAGGACAGGGAGCUGGACGGGCUGUGGACCACCAUCUCCAUCUUCAUCAUGCUCUUCCUGCUCAGCGUGUGCUACAGCGCCACCGUGACCCUCUACAAGGUGAAGUGGAUCUUCUCGUCGGUGGUAGGGCUGAAGCACACGGUCAUCCCCGAAUUCAGAAACAUGAUCGAGCAGGGCGCCUAG